AUGUCUUCAACAAAGGAGAGAUGUACUGGUUGUAGAUUUUUGGCUGGCUCCCGGGGCCAAUAUUUUUUUUUAAAUGAAAAAAAAACAAUACAAAAUUUUUUGGUGUACUUAGUCACAUCCAAAUGCUACCUGCAAAUUUUGAGGCAAAAAGAUAAAAUAUUUUGGCUUGUACAAAAAAAAAACAAAUCGAACACCAAAAGUUACCCAAAUUUGUUUGUUUUACCAACAAAACACCGUCAUGUUUGCGACACUAAUACAAUCAUCUACAAAAAAAUUCAGAAUUUUUUAAAAACAUUUAAUAUUGUUUUUCUGUUACUGUUCACCCGGGAGCCAAAACGCCAGCCCCAUACUACUAAAGAUAAAUAA
rnacentral:rRNA from 1 species